rnacentral:rRNA from 1 species
CGGGAGGUAGUAAUGUCUGGGAAACUGCCCGAUGGAGGGGGAUAACUACUGGAAACGGUAGCUAAUACCGCAUAACGUCGCAAGACCAAAGAGGGGGACCUUGGGCCUCUUGCCAUCGGAUGUGCCCAGAUGGGAUUAGCUAGUAGGUGGGGUAACGGCUCACCUAGGCGACGAUCCCUAGCUGGUCUGAGAGGAUGACCAGCCACACUGGAACUGAGACACGGUCCAG